UCCGCCCUACGGGAGGCAGCAGUAGGGAAUCUUCCACAAUGGACGAAAGUCUGAUGGAGCAACGCCGCGUGAGUGAAGAAGGGUUUCGGCUCGUAAAGCUCUGUUGGUAGUGAAGAAAGAUAGAGGUAGUAACUGGCCUUUAUUUGACGGGAAUUACUUAGAAAGUCACGGCUAACUACGUGCCAGCAGCCGCGGUAAUACGUAGGUGGCAAGCGUUGUCCGGAUUUAUUGGGCGUAG
rnacentral:rRNA from 1 species